rnacentral:rRNA from 1 species
AAAAAGCUCGUAGUUGGAUUUCAGCCGAGGACGGCCGGUCCUUCUUUGGAACCUGGUUUGGCCGAGGCAUCUCUUGGUGUACGUGACGGCGCUUGAUUGUGCUGCACGGACUCCAGGGCUUUUACUUUGAGGAAAUUAGAGUGUUCCAAGCAGGCAUUUGCCUUGUAUAUAUUAGCAUGGAAUAAUAGGAUAGGACUUCGGUCCUAUUUUGUUGGUUUCAGGGACUGAAGUAAUGAUUAAUAGGGAUAGUCGGGGGCAUUCGUACUUAACUGUCAGAGGUGGAAUUCUUGGAUUUGUUAAAGACGAACUACUGCGAAAGCAUUUGCCAAGGAUGUUUUCAUUGAUCAAGAACGAAAGUUAGGGGAUCGAAGACGAUUAGAUACCGUCCUAGUCUUAACCAUAAACCAUGCCGACUAGAGAUUGGAGGUCGUUACAUUGUGAUGCCUUCAGCACCUCGUGAGAAAUCAAAGUCUAUGGGUUCCGGGGGGAGUAUGGUCGCAAGGCUGAAACUUAAAGGAAUUGACGGAAGGGCACCACCAGGAGUGGAGCCUGCGGCUUAAUUUGACUCAACACGGGAAACCUCACCAGGUCCAGACAUAGUAAGGAUUGACAAGAUUGAC